ACGCUGGCGGCAGGCCUAACACAUGCAAGUCGAGCGGAAACGACACCAACAAUCCUUCGGAUGCGUUAAUGGGCGUCGAGCGGCGGACGGGUGAGUAAUGCCUAGGAAAUUGCCUUGAUGUGGGGGAUAACCAUUGGAAACGAUGGCUAAUACCGCAUAAUGCCUACGGGCCAAAGAGGGGGAUCUUCGGGCCUCUCGCGUCAAGAUAUGCCUAGGUGGGAUUAGCUAGUUGGUGAGGUAAUGGCUCACCAAGGCGACGAUCCCUAGCUGGUCUGAGAGGAUGAUCAGCCACACUGGAACUGAGACACGGUCCAGACUCCUACGGGAGGCAGCAGUGGGGAAUAUUGCACAAUGGGCGAAAGCCUGAUGCAGCCAUGCCGCGUGUAUGAAGAAGGCCUUCGGGUUGUAAAGUACUUUCAGUUGUGAGGAAGGGGGUAACGUUAAUAGCGUUAUCUCUUGACGUUAGCAACAGAAGAAGCACCGGCUAACUCCGUGCCAGCAGCCGCGGUAAUACGGAGGGUGCGAGCGUUAAUCGGAAUUACUGGGCGUAAAGCGCAUGCAGGUGGUUCAUUAAGUCAGAUGUGAAAGCCCGGGGCUCAACCUCGGAACUGCAUUUGAAACUGGUGAACUAGAGUGCUGUAGAGGGGGGUAGAAUUUCAGGUGUAGCGGUGAAAUGCGUAGAGAUCUGAAGGAAUACCAGUGGCGAAGGCGGCCCCCUGGACA
rnacentral:rRNA from 1 species